AUUUGGGUUUGAAUAUGCACACCUAUAAGUUACAUUUUUCUUUUACCAAAUCUCCCUUACGUGCAAUAGUUCUUUUUUUUCUCAUCUCUUCUCAUAUAUGCUCUUUAUCUUCUUCUUUUCUUCUUUUUCCUCGAACUCUUAUCUUCGGGUUUUUCUUCUUUUCUUUUUGAAGUUGUUUAGGAGGAGGCAUGUAAUAAUGUUGUUGUGGCUGUGGGGCUAUUUUGUGAGGCAAAGCAAGUGCAAUCAGUUAGUUGUGGGCAUCUGAGGUGUUCUCAUUCUUCUUAGACUCUUGAACAGGGAGUGGCGGCGACAUGUUCCUUGCCAUGCUGAGUCAACUCUGAUCUCAUGUCUCCAAUUGGUUAAUUUUAGAAAUUGCCAAUUUGGUUUUAUGGAAUUCCUGCAAGAAAAAAAUAAAAUAAUGAACAAGGACUCGCUCAGUAUCAUUGAUCAAAUGGAUGAAAUUUUCUUCCAAUUGAAAAGAGGGGCAAUCACACAGGACCAAGCUCUAGUUCCAAGUGGUAUUAGUUUCAUAGCCAAACUAUUUCAUCAGAACAUAGCUCCUCAUAAGUCACAACUUAAUUAACAGAAAUACAACAACAGGGAAUGUCCAUACGUUUCAAUUAAUCUAAUCAGCAUAUCAUAUUACUUCAGAUUAAAAAACCAAACAAAUUAAACAAGGGAACCUUCAACAAUUUUUAUGGGUGAAAGUCAAUUAUCCCCAAGAUCUGAAAGCUGUAAAUGGAAGGAGAAGCCG
rnacentral:lncRNA from 1 species